rnacentral:misc_RNA from 1 species
AUUAAUGUUAGCCCUAUUGAGUAUGGGCACGUGCUGUUGAUCCCACGUAUUCUGGAGUGCUUGCCACAGAGGAUUGAUCGUGAGAGCUUCCUGCUUGCUCUUUACAUGGCAGCUGAAGCUGCAAAUCCAUACUUCCGUUUGGGUUACAACAGCUUGGGUGCAUUUGCUACCAUCAACCACCUUCAUUUCCAGGCUUAUUAUUUGGCUGUGCAAUUUCCCAUUGAGAAGGC